rnacentral:rRNA from 1 species
CAAUAGCGUAUAUUAACGUUGUUGCAGUUAAAAAGCUCGUAGUUGGAUUUCUGCUGAGAACGACCGGUCCGCCCUUUGGGUGUGUAUCUGGCUCUUUCUUGGCAUCUUCUUGGUGAACGUUGCUGCACUUGACUGUGUGGAGCGCUACCCAGGACUUUUACUUUGAGGAAAUUAGAGUGUUUCAAGCAGGCAUACGCCUUGAAUACAUUAGCAUGGAAUAAUAAGAUAGGACCUCGGUUCUAUUUUGUUGGUUUCUAGAGCUGAGGUAAUGAUUAAUAGGGAUAGUUGGGGGCAUUCGUAUUUAACUGUCAGAGGUGAAAUUCUUGGAUUUGUUAAAGACGGACUACUGCGAAANCANNNGCCAAGGAUGUUUUCAUNGA